GACGAACGCUGGCGGCGUGCCUAAUACAUGCAAGUAGAACGCACAGUUUAUACCGUAGCUUGCUACACCAUAGACUGUGAGUUGCGAACGGGUGAGUAACGCGUAGGUAACCUGCCUGGUAGCGGGGGAUAACUAUUGGAAACGAUAGCUAAUACCGCAUAAUAUUGAUUAUUGCAUGAUAAUUGAUUGAAAGAUGCUAUUGCAUCACUACCAGAUGGACCUGCGUUGUAUUAGCUAGUAGGUGAGGUAACGGCUCACCUAGGCGACGAUACAUAGCCGACCUGAGAGGGUGAUCGGCCACACUGGGACUGAGACACGGCCCAGACUCCUACGAGAGGCAGCAGUAGGGAAUCUUCGGCAAUGGACGAAAGUCUGACCGAGCAACGCCGCGUGAGUGAAGAAGGUUUUCGGAUCGUAAAGCUCUGUUGUAAGAGAAGAACGGGUGUGAGAGUGGAAAGUUCACACUGUGACGGUAUCUUACCAGAAAGGGACGGCUAACUACGUG
rnacentral:rRNA from 1 species